GAGAGAGGCUCGCAGCAAUGAGAACUGCUAAUUCUCACGACCUUGGUUGGACCCCUGGGCUCACUCG
rnacentral:tRNA from 1 species